rnacentral:rRNA from 1 species
UACGUAGGUGGCGAGCGUUGUCCGGAUUUACUGGGCGUAAAGAGCGCGCAGGCGGCUGGUCAAGUCCGAUGUGAAAGCUCCCGGCUUAACUGGGAAAUUGCAUCGGAAACUGAUCGGCUGGAAGGUGGGAGAGGGUAGCGGAAUUCCCGGUGUAGCGGUGAAAUGCGUAGAUAUCGGAAGGAACAUCAGUGGCGAAAGCGACUUCCUGGACCAAUACUGACGCUCAUGUGCGAAAGCGUGGGGAGCAAACAGG